rnacentral:rRNA from 1 species
UACGUAGGGGGCUAGCGUUGUCCGGAAUCAUUGGGCGUAAAGGGCGCGUAGGUGGCGCUGCAAGUCGGUGGUGAAAGCUCGUCGCUUAACGACGAGUCGGCCAUCGAAACUGCGGGGCUGGAGCACUGUAGGGGCAGAUGGAAUUCCGGGUGUAGCGGUGGAAUGCGUAGAGAUCCGGAAGAACACCAGUGGCGAAGGCGGUCUGCUGGGCAGUUGCUGACACUGAGGCGCGACAGCGUGGGGAGCAAACAGG